GCCUUUUCUGGUUUAUGUGAGGUGCCAAAACACUUAUUUUCAUCCAUUGCUUAUUACAAGUUGUGUAUGCUAUAAUGCACAGACAGGAGGUGCUCAAACCUUCAAAACUCACCGGAAAUUCUAUGAAUUGCUUGAAAACGAUAAAUCUGAUGGUGAAGAAGCUGGUUCGGUCUAAUAUAUGACCCCACCCUCUACC